rnacentral:rRNA from 1 species
CCUACGGGGGGCAGCAGUGGGGAAUAUUGGGCAAUGGGCGCAAGCCUGACCCAGCAACGCCGCGUGAAGGAAGAAGGCUUUCGGGUUGUAAACUUCUUUUAUCAGGGACGAAGCAAGUGACGGUACCUGAUGAAUACGCCACUGCUAACUACGUGCCAGCAGCCGCGGUACUACGUAGGUGGCAAGCGUUAUCCGGAUCUACGGGGUGUAAAGGGCGGGUAGGCGGGGGUGCAAGUCAGAUGUGAAAGCUAUGGGCUCAACCCAUAGCCUGCAUUUGAAACUGUACUGCUGGAGUGCUGGAGAGGCAAGCGGAAGUCCGGGUGUAGCGGUGAAAUGCGUAGAUAUACGGAGGAACACCAGUGGCGAAGGCGGAUUGCUGGACUGUAACUGACGCUGAGGCGCGAAAGCGUGGGGAGCAAACAGGAUUAGAUACCCCAGUAGUC